CCUACGGGAGGCAGCAGUGGGGAAUAUUGCACAAUGGGGGAAACCCUGAUGCAGCGACGCCGCGUGAGCGAAGAAGGCCUUCGGGUCGUAAAGCUCUGUCCUAAGGGAAGAAGAAGACGGUACCUUAGGAGGAAGCCCCGGCUAACUACGUGCCAGCAGCCGCGGUAAU
rnacentral:rRNA from 1 species